CCCCUGCCCGCCUACGGGAGGCAGCAGUAGGGAAUCUUCGGCAAUGGAAGAAAGUAUGACCGAGCAACGCCGCGUGAGUGAAGAAGGUUUUCGGAUCGUAAAACUCUGUUGUUAGAGAAGAACAAGGAUGAGAGUAACUGUUCAUCCCUUGACGGUAUCUAACCAGAAAGCCACGGCUAAUUACGUGCCAGCAGCCGCGGUAAUACGUAGGUGGCAAGCGUUGUCCGGAUUUAUUGGGCGUAAAGCGAGCGCAGGCGGUUUCUUAAGUCUGAUGUGAAAGCCCCCGGCUCAACCGGGGAGGGUCAUUGGAAACUGGGAGACUUGAGUGCAGAAGAGGAGAGUGGAAUUCCAUGUGUAGCGGUGAAAUGCGUAGAUAUAUGGAGGAACACCAGUGGCGAAGGCGGCUCUCUGGUCAGUAACUGACGAUGAGGCUCGAAAGCGUGGGGAGCAAACAGGAUUAGAUACCCGGGAAGUCCACGCCGUAAACGAUGAGUGCUAAGUGUUGGAGGGUUUCCGCCCUUCAGUGCUGCAGCUAACGC
rnacentral:rRNA from 1 species